rnacentral:rRNA from 1 species
GACGAACCGUGCAAACGUUAUUCGGAAUCACUGGGCUUAAAGGGCGCGUAGGCGGGUCGCCAGGUCCGGGGUGAAAGCCUCCAGCUCAACUGGAGAAGUGCCUUGGAUACCGGCGGCCUCGAGGGAGGUAGGGGCGUGCGGAACUUCGGGUGGAGCGGUGAAAUGCGUAGAUAUCCGAAGGAACACCGGUGGCGAAAGCGGCGCGCUGGAUCUCUACUGACGCUGAGGCGCGAAAGCCAGGGGAGCAAACGGG